CGAUAUCAGCUUGUAUCGGAUGGGAAACAAAAUCAUUGGUAUCGCACUACCCCAGCGUGCAUCUGCCUCCGCAUUAAGCAGGGUGGAAGAAAAAGUAGAUCCCUCCAACCGCGCACCAUUUAGACAAGAUCUCUGUAAUUUCAUUGCUUUUUGUUAAUAUAACCACCUAAAACGAGUUAAGUGUCAAAGUAUUGAUAUUGUGACCAUGAAUGUUGGACCUGGUAUGAGAGAUAAUGCUACUUCCAUGGAUCCACACAUCACCACUACGAACUAGCAAGGCGAAGCUUCCUGAAGGCUGAUACGGGAUGAACCCAGGACUCGAUGGACUCGGCUUUUGGCGUCUUCUUGCUGUGAGGACAAGAACUGGAUUGGAUAUUUGCGUAUAUGAAGCCGUCCCCAAGCACCCUGGAACCACACCGCCUGACCCCAAAACUAUGGCGUCAACAAUUCUCUUCAUGAAUCCAACAACGUUCUCUCCGUAGAAGUCAAGACGCCGUCAGCGAGCCGCUUUCAGAGUGUCGCCAUGACAACGAAGCCACAACACAAACGCCACCCGGGUGAAAGAGUGUCCUCUUCCGAAAAGGCUGCAAGCCAGCCGGAAGCUCCAGAGACUCCAGGUGAUCCUCCAGCCCCAGGUGUCAUCAGGUCCGGAAGCUUCCACCUUAAGGAAACAGCCCACAGUGACAAGCUCAAGUCCAAACGCCUACGGGGAGCUUGCCUUUCCAUCCCAAAUUGAAGUUCAACAAAAGCCCCAUCAGCCAAGACUCUGGCUCAAGCAGACAUAACCUCGGCACGACUGGAGAGAGCCGAGCGGCGACGGCACGACAGCCAUCGUUCACACGUGGGCCCGACAACAUGGCCGACCCGACCCAUCACCCCAUCUCUUUUUCCUUCCUUGUUGCCCCGGCGCAUGCGAAAGGAAGACGAUAUGAAGAGCUGAUAGACUCCUCCCUGCCCCUCCCUUGACGCCCCCCCCACCCCCCUUGGGUGCUGUCAAUAAUACAUCCAUGCCUCCAUUAUAGCGUGUAUCUGCCAAGGCGGCGCCCAGCCUCUGUUUGUGGACAUGGGAAAUCUUUUAAGUCCAAAGUGUUGCCUCUGAGGGGACACGCCGUCUAAUGGGUGCUACCUGAACGCACCGCCGGGUAUUUACACAAAACAAGCACACCACAAGGAAAAGUUGAGGCCGACGCACAAGCACCAGAACCUCUUAGAUGCAACAAGGUCUGGCCCAGGGAGGCCAGUCCGCCUCUGAGUGGUUUGGCUUUGGGGGGAAAGGAAGUCGGAGUUACUGCCAUCAACUGUCAUGGAGGUUUCACGACAAGUGUUCAACGUUCCGCUAGCCAGUUCGAAGGCCAGACCAGAAACUCUUCUGUACUUUAAGCAUGAAGACUAAUUCUGGCUGCCAUUUCUACCUCUGCCAAGCGCGGCACAGACCCCCUUUUUGCCAACGUUUGUUUGUGUUCAAAAUAACUUGAAACCUUCAGAAUGGAUUUGGAUGACCGAUGCCUCAGGCCACUAGCCAAAGGUAACGCGACAUAUUUUAGUAGCCUUCCUUUCUAUGUUGCUAUGUGACAUCAAUGCACCCAGGAAGGAAGUUCUACUAAAAUACUCCAAGUACGACACGUUAGCAUCCAUGUAGCUGUUACUACAUGCUCACAGCAUGGAUAGAAAACCUUGGUGGAGCUUUUUGGAUCUCUUUGAAUAGCUGCCUUGCUAGGCCCAAUACGUGUGUCCCAUGACGUGCAUCCAUUAGCUGCCUCUUUCUACCUCUUUGUUUAUCUUUACAACACACAGAGGAAACAAAGACUUGAGUUAAUUACAUUUUUUCACACUCGUAACUGUCGUACAAGUGUAAAAAGAAGUUAACCGUUGCAGUUAGUGAAACAAUAGUUAAAAAAAAUCUCCAGUCUGAACUUUGAUGCAUCCUUUGAUGCUCGGAUUCCAACCCUUACAGGUUGCGGUACACUUCCCGUGCACUCGGGUCCCUAAAGCAUCGUCUCAAAAUAGGUCACAUGUAUGAGUGGUAAGCCACGUAUAAUGCACUUUUUAUGAGCAGGGGGCGGGCAACGCAGAGCUGGUGAGGUCCAGAGAGCCCUGGGUUCAAAGGUCAGAGGCGUCCAUUUUGAUACCAAGCGUGACAUCAACAAUGAGACGCUCAUGCUAAUGUGAAGAUUGUGUGGCUUCAUUAUGCAAUGUUUAAUAUUAAUAAAGAAAGUAUCAUCUAUUAUUUAUGCCAUGAUUUACUGAGUGUGUGUGUGUGUGUGUGUGUGUGAGUGACAGAUUGAGACGCUGCCUUGCUAAGGGCGAUACAAGCAGACAAGGCUCUUACUUUUCCGCGGGACGCAUCCUGACAAUUCCUCCCCCAGUUAAGAGGAUUUGUCCGAGCACGGAUGAAUUUAUAAUGCAUGCAGAUUCCACUUUUUAAUACGGACGUAAAUGAUUCACACGUCUCAGAGGUGAGGCUGCCAUGUAGAUGUGGGAGAGCAGGGGGGCCUGGGGGGGUCAACAGGCGAACUUUUCACAGGC